rnacentral:rRNA from 1 species
AUUGAACGCUGGCGGCAGGCCUAACACAUGCAAGUCGAACGAGUGGCGGACGGGUGAGUAAUGUCUGGGAACCUGCCUGAUGGAGGGGGAUAACUACUGGAAACGGUAGCUAAUACCGCAUACCAUCAGAUGUGCCCAGUUGGGAUUAGCGAGUUGGUGGGGUAACCGCUCACAAAGGCGACGAUCCCUAGCUGGUCUGAGAGGAUGACCAGCCACACUGGAACUGAGACACGGUCCAGACUCCUACGGGAGGCAGCAGUGGGGAAUAUUAUACAAUGGGUGCAAGCCUGAUGCAGCCAUGCCGCGUGUAUGAAGAAGGCCGUCGGGUUGUAAAUUACUUUCAGCGGGGAGGCGUUACCCGCAGAAGAAGCACCGGCUAACUCCGUGCCAGCCGCCGCGGUAAUUC